UUUUUUUUUUUUUUUUUUUUUUUUUUUUGUCUUUUUGCCUUUUCUAGGGUCGCACCUGGGGCACAUGGAGGUUCCCAGGCUAGGGGUCGAAUCAGAGCUACAGCUGCCAGCCUAUGCCAGAGCCACAGCAAUGCAUGAUCCGAGCCAUGUCUGCAACCUACACCACAGCUCACGGUAAUGCCGGAUCCUUAACCCACUGAGCAAGGCCAGGGAUCGAACCCUAAACCUCCUGGUUCCUAGUCAGAUUCGUUAACCACUGCGCCACGACGGAAACUCCGUUUGUUAUUGUUUUGACAUAAUACGUUGAUAGCAACAAAAAUACAUUUGUAAUUUGCAAUAUAAUGAGAAUAUUGACAUAAAACUGACUAAUAAUAUCAUAUUCAAAGAGUCCUUCAGCUUUAUCACAACACAGGAAUAUUUGCCCUGAAACCUCAGGUAUAAAGGAAAUUAGCUAAAGGAGUUCCUGCUGCAGCACAGUGGGUUAAGGAUCUGAUUGCAGUGGCUCAGGUCACUGUGGAGCCUCAGGUUUGAUCCCUGGCCCGGUAUAGCAGGUUAAAGGUAUGAUGUUGCCACAGCUGUGGCAUAGGUUGCAGCUGAGGCUCAAAUUCCAUCCUUGGCCCAGGAACUUCCAUAUUCUGUGCGUGCAGGUUUUUACAAAUUUUACGAAAUCUUAAAACUCUGUCAUCACCAAAACUGUGUGUUAUGACAGGCAGUAAGUCUCAUACCCAUAACCUGAAUAAUGAAUACUCCUUUGUGAGCACCCAACUGAUGAUGGAGGAGAGAUUUAAGCCCUGGGAGAAUUAGCCUCAUAUUGUUCAAAGAGAAAGACCAAACUCCAAAGCAAUAGCAACAGAACAAGAAAGAUGCAGUUUAAGUAGAGCCUGAGAUGCCCUGACCUAUGGCUUUUAACCUUCAGGUAUGUUCUGGAUUGCACAUAAUCUAAAAAGAAAAGGGAGUUCCCUGAUGGCCUAGUGGCUAAGGACCCAGUGUUGUUAUGGCCGUAGCUCAGAUCACUGCUGUGAUAGAGGUUCAAUUUCUGGUCUGGGAACUUCCCCAUGCCUCAGGCACAGCCAUUAAAAAAAAAAAGAAGAAAAGAAAAGAAAUUAAUGUACUUAGUUUUCAUGGAAGUACUUAUUAUGUAAGUAUUCAUUGAGAACAUAUUUCUGUGUACUCUGGGGGGCUUGGUAACCCCAUACUACCUUCAAAAUACAUUUCAGUCAAUAGACUAGGAGAGUUAAAUUGUAGCCAUUUCUUUCUAGGAAAUCAUUUCAAACCACAUACCUCAGAGAGUGCCUAGCAUCGUACCCACCAUCGCCACAGCUUUGCUCCCACUUCCCCUAAAAUGAAGAUGAUUCUAUGGACUUUAAGGAGAUUUCAUUGAGCACAUUUUCUUUAUUUUAGAAUGUAUCAUGUGAUAUAUUCUGCUGUUUGAACAGCAAAAGAGAGACAUUAAAACAACAGGCUUAUCCAUCUGUGGAUAAUUUUACCUAAAAUUAAGCAGAAGUUUCUAUUGCUCUUCUUGUUUUAUAUCACACUAAGAAAACGAAUACACUGAUUUAAAUUAUAAAGCUAACAUCAGCAGAGGCAUCACAGAGUUCAGACAUGAUCAGAAAAAUUGCACUGAACAACAACUUUUACUCUCAAUUAUAUGCAUUAACGAUGGGAGUAGUGGCACAGAAAAUGUUCAAACCACUGUGACGCAACUGUUUUUGCACCAGACUCCUUUUUUUUAAAUCUACUUUGCAUAUUGUACAGACUCAUAUUUAAGUAAUUUGCCUUUGUUCCUUUAACUUACUCUGAUUUAAGCAAGGAGAACAUGAAGGUUUUAAUUUCUAUUUCAUGAAAUAAUUGUUGGAUAUCUUGAGAGUUAAUCACACGGCUGUUAAAUAAUAAUAUCUUGGGAACAAUUCUGUAGUAAUGGUUCAGUGUCAGUACUAAAAAUUUUAGGGGUCCCAUCCAGAACUGGCUGAUUCCAGAGAAAAUAAGGAACAAGCACAACAUGUAACAAGUGCUUCCUGCCAUCUUUGUUUCCAUUUAUAAAGUCUGUCUCAGCAAAAAUGCCAUGAUUUUAGUUGAUAAGCACUCUAGGUGUUCCUUUUAGAGGGGUAUUUGUAUUUUAGCAAAGAUUCCAGAAGAUUGGAAAAUUGUAAUGACUCAAAGGACACCACUCAAAUGUAGUGGGUCUUUAGGCUAGAGACUGUAUCCCCUGAAAUUUGACUUUAAAGUUUGCAUAUUUUUUUCAAAUAGACCAUUUUCUAGACAACAGUGCACAUUCUCAAGUGGUCUACAAACCUUCAAAGGUUAAGAAUUGCGCUAAAAGUAGAAUUUAAGUCUUCAGAAUCGCUUUGGAGAAAGCGACCCUAUCUUGGAAUUUGGAGUGAGGCAGGUCUAGGUUCAAAAGGCCAUUCUGCCACUCACUCACCAUUCCACUUCAGGCAAGUUACUUCAUCUCUCUGAGCUAUAUGUCCUUUCUCUAUACAGUGAGGAUAAAACCAAUGCCUACCUCUUUGGGCUCUUGUGAAGACUGGGUGUAAUGUUUGUAAAGUACUUGGCACAUAGCUACCAUGCUAUAUACUCUCAAGAAACAGUAGCUGUUACUAUAAUUAAUACAAUUAUUUGUUUCAUUAGCAUUAUAAAAUACACUGUGAAGACAGUGGCUUUACCUAACAAAUAAUAAGGUAUAUUAUUCUAAUCCUUUUGCAGUUGGCUGAUAAAACACAGACUGUGGCUAAUUAACAAUGAUUAAGUCAUCUUUGACCAAGACAGGGCUAAAGAGAUUUGUUCUCUAAAGUGAUCUGAUUUUAUUUACUUUAACUAUGGGAUAUCUAAUCUAGUGACUUGAAAUAACAAGGUUUUACAGGUUCACCAGUCUUCCAAGAAUUCCCUAAAUGACUGAAUAACUAUGGUUUCUAUGCUUAGGGUUUUCCAGACAGCACGCAAAAUAAGCAAGGAUUUACAUUCAGCUGUGUUUAAGAUAACAUCUUCAUGCUGAAAAACUGGCACCUUCUCAAAUGACCACUAAUGGAAUUUAUUAGCUAUUAUGGUAUAUUUACAGCACAAAUUACCAUUCAACUAUUAAAAAUAAUUUUAGGAAUAAUGCUCAAUGACAAGGGAUAAUGUUUAUCAUAUAUUAAGCAAAAAAGGCAGUGCACAAAAUUAAGUAAAGCCUGAUUGCUUUUUUGUACAAAGAUGGCACAGAAAAAUGCCUGGAAGAAAGUACACAAAAUUUCCAUGGUAGGUGGUGAGAUGACAGGUGAGUUUCUACACAGAGCAUUUAUUAUUUUUGCAAUCUGAAUAAUAAUAAAAGAGGAGUUCCUGCUGUGGCUCAGCAGUAAUGACUCUGACUAGUAUCCAUGAGGACGUGGGUUCCAUCCCUGGGCUUGCUCAGUGAGUUAAGGAUCCGGUGUUGCUGUGAGCUGUGGUGUAUGUAGGUCACAGAUGCAGCUCAGAUCUGGAAAGAAAGAGAAAAAGAAAUUUUAAAAAAUGGUUAAAAAUGAAAAACUUGUCAGCAGCCAAGGACUUGGGAUCAAAGGCCAAGACACAGGCCUAUUAAAAUGAUAACCUCAGACAAAUUAGCUCCCCAUCUGGGGGCCAAAUUUUGCUCCCUUGAGAUUAAGAAAGUUUGAACAAAUGAUCUGUCUCUUUCCAGUCUGACAUUCUAGGAGACGCAUGGUCAAAUGUUACAGAUAAACUUUUUUUGUUUUUUAAGCUAGCACACCAAUGCUACAUGGUGACACCCAGUGACUCUGGGAUGGAGUCCUCUUAUUUUCAAAUUGUCCUGUAUUGUUGAUUUUGUAAAUAAUAAGGAUGUUAUUCCUUUGAUAAAUAAAAAAGAUAAAAAGAAAAAAAGAAAUGGGUAAGGGGCUCAGCAUACAUAAAGGCUCACAAGCCGAACACUUUGGUACACACAUUGCACCUUGAAAGUGGGUUAACAUUUAUUUUAUUUGACCUAAACAAAUCAAUCCAAGAAAAAAAAUAAAUCACACAAUUGACAGCCACAGUCCUGGAAUAAAGGACUCCAGCCCAAUAGAACAGACUCUUGUUAUGAAAAGUAGAUGGUUUUCCUAAGAAAAGUCUCAGACAGUUUUGGAAAUCAAUGGAACAAUCGCCUGCAGCAUCUGGGGAGCAAGUUAUCGCUACAAUCACACCCGGGGCCAAACUAUUAAGUGUCAGAAAAAUACCUACGCGAUUAAAACUGUUUCACAGGAAUAAGUGGCAAAGAAAUCAGAUUACUUAAAGCCUCAAAAUCCAAACAGAACAAAACACAUUUUCAACUGCUACCUUUGGCCCUGUGUCUAAAACAAAUGCACUAAAUCCCACUUUGCAUGAGCCCUAUAAAAUAGGGAGGGGAGAAAAAGUCUUCUUUCCUCCUGCCCAGAUUCCUCCCCUGGAACCAGCGAGCUCUCCCGCUGCCAAUGAGAAGUUUCCUCGAGGUGCUUUUUAAAGAGCAUUGAAAGGCGGCAGCAGUGACCCAGAAGCCUGGGAAAAAUACCCGGUUUCUCAGACUACCAGCCCCACCCCCUUCUGGGCAAGGCACCCAGCUGAGUGGAGCUAGUCCCCAAAGCUGAUCUGCUUCUUUGCAUGAGCAGGGACAAUUUUCCACCCACACUGUGCAACCCUGCUCCAGACACGGCUGUCAGGUUACACAACCUGGCUUCUCUCCUGGACAGAGGGGGGAGAUACCCACUGGAUCUCUUGGGGCUCUGCUAUUGAUCAAGGGAUUGCUUUGGCCUGAGGAGUAAGAACAUGGGGCUGGCUGCCUUCUGCAGCAGGGGCCAGUUAAGAGGGAGGAAGUAUCUGAAACCUUAAAAAAAUGCUAAAUGGAUUAAGAUUUCUGCACACACUAGUGUAUGUGGGAUGGAUGGCCAGUGGGGACCUGCUGUAUAGCACAGGGAACUCAACCCCAAAUUCUGUGAUAACCCAUGUGGGAAAAGAAUCUGAAAAAAAAAUGGAUAUGUGUCUGCAUAUAACUGAAUUACUUUUCUGUACUGCAGAAAUUAUCACAAUGUUGUAAAAUCAACUCUACUUCAAUAAAACUUGAAGAAAUGAAAAAAAAAGAUUUUGGCUGAUUUUCUUAGUAGAAAAGUGUUGGAAGGACGUGGGAGAGGGCUCUCUUCACUCCAUCUCAUUUUAAAACUUGAUGAUAAUCUUUAAAGACCUGCUGAUAGGAUCUUUUAAAAGGCACAGGUAAUUAUGUGACUGCUACUUGAAGCGAAUUUAAAAGAAAAAUAUGCUGCUUGGACAAUUUUCACUGUGAUUAGAAAUUGCUUCAAAAAACAAACUUGAUUUGGACCUAGAGUCUCAUUGUGGACAAACUACUUCCCAAGAAUUAGACAGAUUCUGGAGCUGGCAGUCAGCAAGCAUUGCCAACUAUUUACUAAGUAUUAAGGAACAUGCAUGGGUGCAGAACUCCUUAGGUAGGUCACACUGCCACCACACAGGACACCGAUGAAGUAAUCUGUUAAAUGGCAUCUAUUAAGACAGAGUUAUUGACACUUUAAAAAUGUGCAAGAAAACCUGUAAGAAGUGGUUACAUUAACCUGGUAAACAUAGCACCUUUGAACACAAAUGCACAAAGAUAAAUCUAGGUCAUUAAAUUUUCGCCGAAAUGAUCAAUGGUGAUGAUAAUCUUAAGUCUCAUCUUAAUAUUUUAAUUUACCUAAUAUAAUAUUGUUACUUUGGUUUUAAUUCACAUUUACCUGACAUAUCUAUUUCCAAUCCAUUUCACUCAAAAUUUCUGAGCCACUGUGUCUUAGGUACGAUGCUUAUAAACAGUAUGUAGCUGGAGCUCAAAUUUUUGUGCAAUCAUUGUCUUCAAACGGGAGAAUUUAGCUCAUUUACCUUUAUUGUGGUUAAAUAUACAUUUGGACCUAUUUGAAUCAUCUCUUUUUUUGUUGUUAUUUUCUAUUGAACACACAUCUUCCUUGGUAUUUUUUUUCUCUUCUCUCCUGCUAUCUAUUGAAUUGAUUGACUGAACUUUCUUCAUUCCCCUCCACUGGUUUGGAAGUUAGUCUAUUUCUAUAGAGGUUAUCCCCAAAUUUGUAUAGCAACCAAAAUCUAAAGAAAAUCUUAUCUCUAUCCUUCUCUAAAAUAAUAUGAAUACUGUGGAAGAUAUUACCUCC
rnacentral:lncRNA from 1 species